CUUCCAUGAAAUACUUAAUUUGACUCUGUUAAUAACAGAAACUAUCAGUUCUGCCGAAGGAAUGGAAAGGAAGAAACACAAACAUCUUUUCCAAACCAUUGAAUAGGUUAUGUGUGGAUAUAUAUCAAGCUUGUGGCAUGCAAAUAUUAAGAAAAAAAUGUUAAAUUAUUUGGAAAAGGCUUAUUCCUUUGGAAAGGGCAGAACCAUCUUGGAGCUCAAGGAAAUGUCACAGAAUGAAUAAAUGAGAACUAAUUAUAGCAACUCUUGCUUCAAUUUCUGACUUUUUUUUUUUUUAACAUCAGGAUUUGCUUCCGCACGGCAGUGGAAGAAUGGAAGGGACCCAGAGAACCCAUGGAGCAUCUUGUCUAGGAGCCCCAUGUGUCAGACUUUCCUUGUGGAUUUGGAGGGUAUUCAACGUUUUAUUAUGAGGGUCACUUCAGGAACCAGCAGAUCGGAACUGUGGAUCUGUCACUCAUUCUUAAGAUCUUCCGCUUGGCCACAGUUGAGGGGAGGUGUGCUUGCAGGAGACAGAAGUGCUGGCUCAGGCUAAACCGUGACCGUUCAAACACUGAACACCAAGCAUGUGAAGUACUUGGCCAAAACAUCUGCGGUGGAAUAAUUGAUUAAAAUAUUAUUGAUAUAUGAGUUGACUUUAUUUAUCCAAUUAAAUCUCAGGUAUCCUUUUUUUGAAAUGUGUAUAACUGCAGGUAGCUAGCAUUCUUCUUUUAAUUGGUUUUGACUUUGCAGAAUGAUUUUUUGUAUCUCUCCAGCUGCUUCAUCAGAAUUGAAGGGAGGGAAAAUGACCCCAUGACCCUCUUCUCUCAUCCGAAUGAAGUAAGAGCCACAAAGCUGGAAUAAUUUUGGAUUUUCCACAUAGAUUUUCCUGACUAUUUCUUUUAAUACAAACAUAAGAAUGAUAACCAACUCUUUGUCCUCAAUUACUUCCAUCCAGAAUUAUGCGUGGGAUGCUGUAUGUGAACUUGGCAGUUAUAUGACAGGAAUUUGCAUCCUCCCAAAGCAAUGCAGGUAGGAGAGAAAUGAGCUUAAAUGGGACUGAGAAAAUUAUAAUAA
rnacentral:lncRNA from 1 species